rnacentral:tRNA from 1 species
AGAGAAUAGUUCAGUGGUAGAGCACAUGCUUAGCAUGCAUGAGGCCCUGGGUUCAGUCCCCAGUACCUCUG